UGGCAGGAUCAACCAGGUAGCAUUCCAUGUCGACAUUGGCAUUGCAUGGACGAAUCCAAAACAACACCAAUUGUCGUUCGCAUAUCGCUGCUUAGCGUGUGACGCUAUUUUAGGGGCAAAAUUAGAGACCGAUGAUGCCUCGUACCCACGAGGUACUCCAUGACCAAGAGAACGAGCACCGUGCCAUUGAUCCAACGGACAAAGAACAUUAUUUAAGCCAUGGGCGUUGGAGCACGACAUUUGCUUCGAAGUUCACCUCGUACCACGAACCCAAGGGCUCGCAGCGAAAGGCAAAAAAGAUCCAUUUAUAAUCCGACAAAUUCCCACACUUUGGGUAUAGAACACAAGAAACCGAGCUUGGCCAAGUUGUUUUUCCUACUCUUGAACCAAUUAAUGAAGAGGCAUGCGGGAUACAUUUUCGU
rnacentral:misc_RNA from 1 species